GGGGAUCCUUAUAACUUGCUAUUCGGUGUGAGCCAAGGAUUCGUGUUGAAGAGGGUACUUUAACCUAUAAUAGUUUCCUUCUACACACUGUGACUUGGAUGGAGAGUUGUCUCAUUGGCACUCAUACCACAUCUUCUUAUAUCUAUAUAUUCUUUCGAUAUGUUUAAUUGGGGUCUGGAGCUGGCAUGUCAGUUACUGCUAGUAGUUUUUUGUUAAUUUAUGAAUCAUAUUCAUUUUGUGUAGUUUCUUUUGUUUACUAUUUUGUCAUCGGACUCGGAUUUCUUUUAAACUGAGUUUUUCUGUGCAUAUUGUUGUGUGUUUGUUUAUUCUACAUGAGCUAGAUAUAUAGUUGUAUAGCGGGAGGGUUGAGAUCUCACAAAGCAUGUUUAGCCCCGCCGUAUUUUUGCGCCUGUCCCAAGACAGGAGACUCUGAUCUUUGUUAGUUUUUUUUUGUUUUUUUUUAUCUAAGUUAAGUGUGACGUCCAUUUUCACAUAACUAGUAUAUAUUUUUAUUUAGAGACCAGCUGAAGCCCGCCUCUGGUUGCGGGAUUUUCUCGUUGUGUUGAAGACUCAUUGGUGGCCUUCGGCUGUGCUCUUUGGUUAGGCUGUUGUCUCUUUGACACAUUUUUUAUUUCCAUUCUCAAUUUUAUUGAUUGAUCAAUUGAUU
rnacentral:lncRNA from 1 species